UACGAAGGGGGCUAGCGUUGUUCGGAAUUACUGGGCGUAAAGCGCACGUAGGCGGAUUGUUAAGUUAGGGGUGAAAUCCCAGGGCUCAACCCUGGAACUGCCUUUAAUACUGGCAAUCUAGAGUCCGAGAGAGGUGAGUGGAAUUCCGAGUGUAGAGGUGAAAUUCGUAGAUAUUCGGAGGAACACCAGUGGCGAAGGCGGCUCACUGGCUCGGUACUGACGCUGAGGUGCGAAAGCGUGGGGAGCGAACAGG
rnacentral:rRNA from 1 species